rnacentral:sRNA from 1 species
GUUUCCUCGAGUGGAGCGGUUGGGGAAAGCGGGAGGAAGGCACUCCCAGAGGGGACGGUGGCGGGCAGUGCGGGGUCCUGCAGAGCUGCUGGCUGCAGCUCCGUGCUGGAUCGUGGAAGUACAAGUGGGUCGAGAUCGGCAUUUUCUUAGGAACAGAAUCGAACCGAGUAGAAUAGGGGUAGAAUAGAAUAGACCGUCUACAGAGUUCCUGGACGCUAAGCCUAAGCAUUGCUUCGUGAAACUCCAGUUUCGUUUUAUGAACGCGUGUGUGCGGGAGGCGAUGUGAACUGACUUUACUGUGGGUACGAAAAGCCCAAAGCCACCGCCCAGGAAGAACCGCGCUUGGCUGCGGCCCGGGAAGAAACAUCCACGGCCGCAUUAGAAAGAGGGUCGCACGCUGCCGCCGAGGACUUUCUGCAGGGCGACUGCACCAAAGCGAAACAGAAGCUGAACUGGAAGCCCCGGGUCGCUUUCGAUGAGCUGGUGAGGGAGAUGGUGCACGCCGACGUGGAGCUCAUGAGGACAAACCCCAAUGCCUGAGCGCGCCUCGGAGCCCGGCCCGCCCUCCGGCUACAAUCCCCGUAGAGUCUCCGGUGCAGACGCGCUGUGGGGAUGGGGAGGGGCGUGCCAAUCUGCGGGUCCCCUGCGGCCCCUGCUGCCGCUGCGCUGUCCCGGCCGCAAGAGCGGGGCCGCCCCGCCGAGGUUUGUAGCAGCCGGGAUGUGACCCUCCAGGGUUUGGGUCGCUUUGCUUUUGUCGAAGCCUCCUCUGAAUGGCUUUGUGAAAUCAAGAUGUUUUAAUCACAUUCACUUUACUUGAAAUUAUGUUGUUACACAACAAAUUGUGGGGCCUUCAAAUUGUUUUUCUCUUUUCAUAUUAAAAAUGGUCUUUCUGUGAACUAGCA